rnacentral:lncRNA from 1 species
UGGAAAAAAGAGAAACAGAGGAGCACAGCCAGCUCAGCAAGGAAGAAGAAAUAAACAAUGGACUCAGAUGAUUUACAACCACCGUGAGCAAAGCAGAAGAAAGAAACAAUGGACUCAGGUGACAUAAAACCACCGUGAGCGACAAAAGAAUUCGGUGCCUGAUGCAAAAUUUUCGGGAAUGUAUGCAAACUAGAUAGAGAUUGACUUAAGGGUUGAAAACUAAGUCGUGUGUGAUGAUGCUAAAGAGGUAGACUAAGGGUGGUAAUUCGAAUCGCACUCGGUUUGAGGACCUGCAUAUUUAACACGAAAAUAGAUUGUUUACAUGAUGGAAAUAAGCAAACGGAACUUGGAAUUAUGGAAUUAGGAUAAUUUUUUUUGGAAAUUAAUUAUAACGCUGCAAAUGGAGGGAUUUUUUGUCCCGCGCCAAGGAACCUACUUACAGUAGGUUUUAGUUACACUUUACUUUACUCUAUAAAAAAGAUAUGCAAAACUUAUACAAUUCUACAAAACUUAUACAAUUCUUGUACACAACUACAGGGUUGAUAAACUAAUAAUUCGAUUAUGGUCAUAGAAGAAACUAAGACGAAAAGGUGACCAAUA